rnacentral:rRNA from 1 species
GACGAACGCUGGCGGCGUGCCUAAUACAUGCCAGUCGAGCGAAGUUUUUCUGGUGCUUGCACUAGAAAAACUUAGCGGCGAACGGGUGAGUAACACGUAAAGAACCUGCCUCAUAGACUGGGACAACUAUUGGAAACGAUAGCUAAUACCGGAUAACAGUAUUUCUCGCACGAGAGAUAUUUAAAAGUUUGUUAUGCUAACACUAUGAGAUGGCUUUGCGGUGCAUUAGCUAGUUGGUGGGGUAAAGGCCCACCAAGGCGACGAUGCAUAGCCGACCUGAGAGGGUGAUCGGCCACACUGGGACUGAGACACGGCCCAGACUCCUACGGGAGGCAGCAGUAGGGAAUCUUCCGCAAUGGGCGAAAGCCUGACGGAGCAACGCCGCGUGAGUGAAGAAGGAUUUCGGUUCGUAAAGCUCUGUUGUUAGGGAAGAAUGGAUAUGUAGUAACUAUACAUGUAAGAGACGGUACCUAACCAGAAAGCCACGGCUAACUACGUG